rfam:Aedes albopictus isolate Foshan contig30886, whole genome shotgun sequence.
UAGCCUAGUGGUUAAGGCUAUGGAUUGCCAAUCCGGAGACGGCGGGUUCGAUUCCUGU